rnacentral:rRNA from 1 species
GGAGCGAAAUUUAGUAGCGAAGUAGCUGAUUUCACACUGUCAAGAAAAGUCUCUAUCGAGGUUAAAGGUACCCGUACCGCAAACCGACACAGGUGGGGGAGGAGAGUAUCCUAAGGCCAGCGAGAGAACUGUUGUUAAGGAACUCGGCAAAAUGACCCCGUAACUUAGGGAUAAGGGGUGCCACCAUCAGGUGGCCGCAGAGAAUAGGCCCAAGCGACUGUUUACCAAAAACAUAGGUUUCUGCUAAGUCGCAAGACGAUGUAUAGGAGCUGACGCCUGCCCGG